rnacentral:rRNA from 1 species
GACGAACGCUGGCGGCGUGCUUAACACAUGCAAGUCGAACGGUGAUGCUCCAGCUUGCUGGCGUGGAUCAGUGGCGAACGGGUGUGUAACACGUGAGCAACCUGCCCCAGACUCUGGAAUAAGCGCUGGAAACGGCGUCUAAUACUGGAUACGAAACUGGCCCGCAUGGGCAUGGUUUGGAAAGUUUUUCGGUUUGGGAUGGGCUCGCGGCCUAUCAGCUUGUUGGUGAGGUAAUGGCUCACCAAGGCGACGACGGGUAGCCGGCCUGAGAGGGCGACCGGCCACACUGGGACUGAGACACGGCCCAGACUCCUACGGGAGGCAGCAGUGGGGAAUAUUGCACAAUGGGCGAAAGCCUGAUGCAGCGACGCCGCGUGAGGGAUGACGGCCUUCGGGUUGUAAACCUCUUUCAGCAGGGAAGAAGCGAAAGUGACGGUACCUGCAGAAGAAGCACCGGCUAACUACGUG